CCCUACGGGGCGCAGCAGUGAGGAAUAUUGGUCAAUGGGCGUGAGCCUGAACCAGCCAAGUCGCGUGAGGGAAGACGGUCCUAUGGAUUGUAAACCUCUUUUGCCGGGGAGCAAAAAGCGGUACGUGUACCGCAUCGAGAGUACCCGGAGAAAAAGCAUCGGCUAACUCCGUGCCAGCAGCCGCGGUAACACGGAGAACGCGAGCGUUAUCCGGAUUUAUUGGGUUUAAAGGGUGCGCAGGCGGCGAGUUAAGUCAGCGGUAAAAUUUCGGGGCUCAACCCCGACAAGCCGUUGAAACUGGCUUG
rnacentral:rRNA from 1 species